rnacentral:rRNA from 1 species
AGGUAAGCUACUAAGAGCGAAUGGUGGAUGCCUUGACUGGUAAAGGCGAUGAAGGACGUACUAGACUGCGAUAAGCUACGGGGAGCUGUCAAGAAGCUUUGAUCCGUAGAUUUCCGAAUGGGGCAACCCAAUGUAUAGAGAUAUACAUUACCUAUAUAGGAGCGAACGAGGGGAAUUGAAACAUCUUAGUACCCUCAGGAAAAGAAAUCAAUAGAGAUUGCGUCAGUAGCGGCGAGCGAAAGCGCAAGAGGGCAAACCCAGUGCUUGCACUGGGGGUUGUAGGACUGCAAUGUGCAAGAGGUGAGUUUAGCAGAACAUUCUGGAAAGUAUAGCCAUAGAGGGUGAUAGUCCCGUAUGCGAAAAACAAACCUUAGCUAGCAGUAUCCUGAGUAGGGCGGGACACGAGAAAUCCUGUCUGAAGCUGGGUCGACCACGAUCCAACCCUAAAUACUAAUACCAGAUCGAUAGUGCACAAGUACCGUGAGGGAAAGGUGAAAAGAACUGAGGUGAUCAGAGUGAAAUAGAACCUGAAACCAUUUGCUUACAAUCAUUCAGAGCCCUAUGUAGCAAUACAGGGUGAUGGACUGCCUUUUGCAUAAUGAGCCUGCGAGUUGUGGUGUCUGGCAAGGUUAAGCAAACGCGAAGCCGUAGCGAAAGCGAGUCUGAAUAGGGCGCUUAGUCAGAUGCUGCAGACCCGAAACGAAGUGAUCUAUCCAUGAGCAAGUUGAAGCUAGUGUAAGAACUAGUGGAGGACUGAACCCAUAGGCGUUGAAAAGCCCCGGGAUGACUUGUGGAUAGGGGUGAAAGGCCAAUCAAACUUCGUGAUAGCUGGUUCUCUCCGAAAUAUAUUUAGGUAUAGCGUUGUGUCGUAAUAUAAGGGGGUAGAGCACUGAAUGGGCUAGGGCAUACACCAAUGUACCAAACCCUAUCAAACUCCGAAUACCUUAUAUGUAAUCACAGCAGUCAGGCGGCGAGUGAUAAAAUCCGUCGUCAAGAGGGAAACAACCCAGACUACCAGCUAAGGUCCCUAAAUCUUACUUAAGUGGAAAACGAUGUGAAGUUACUUAAACAACCAGGAGGUUGGCUUAGAAGCAGCCAUCCUUUAAAGAAAGCGUAAUAGCUCACUGGUCUAGUGAUUUUGCGCGGAAAAUAUAACGGGGCUAAAGUAAGUACCGAAGCUGUAGACUUGCGCACAACUUAGAUUAUUUAAGUUUAGAAUAUGAGAAACUAAGUUAUAUGUUUAGUUAUAUUUUUACUGAUUUUUAUAGAGUAAAGAUAGAAAUAAAACUUAGUAAAAUCAGUAAAAAUAUUCUUAGACUAAAGUUAAGUAGUUUAAGUUGUGUGCAAGUGGUAGGAGAGCGUUCUAUUUGCGUCGAAGGUAUACCGGUAAGGAGUGCUGGAGCGAAUAGAAGUGAGCAUGCAGGCAUGAGUAGCGAUAAUUAAUGUGAGAAUCAUUAACGCCGUAAACCCAAGGUUUCCUACGCGAUGCUCGUCAUCGUAGGGUUAGUCGGGUCCUAAGUCGAGUCCGAAAGGGGUAGACGAUGGCAAAUUGGUUAAUAUUCCAAUACCAACAUUAGUGUGCGAUGGAAGGACGCUUAGGGCUAAGGGGGCUAGCGGAUGGAAGUGCUAGUCUAAGGUCGUAGGAGGUUAUACAGGCAAAUCCGUAUAACAAUACUCCGAGAACUGAAAGGCUUUUUGAAGUCUUCGGAUGGAUAGAAGAACCCCUGAUGCCGUCGAGCCAAGAAAAGUUUCUAAGUUUAGCUAAUGUUGCCCGUACCGUAAACCGACACAGGUGGGUGGGAUGAGUAUUCUAAGGCGCGUGGAAGAACUCUCUUUAAGGAACUCUGCAAAAUAGCACCGUAUCUUCGGUAUAAGGUGUGGUUCGCUUCGUAUUAGGAUUUACUCCGAAAGC